UACGAAGGGGGCUAGCGUUGUUCGGAAUCACUGGGCGUAAAGCGCACGUAGGCGGAUCUUUAAGUCAGGGGUGAAAUCCCGAGGCUCAACCUCGGAACUGCCUUUGAUACUGGGGAUCUCGAGUCCGGGAGAGGUGAGUGGAACUGCGAGUGUAGAGGUGAAAUUCGUAGAUAUUCGCAAGAACACCAGUGGCGAAGGCGGCUCACUGGCCCGGAACUGACGCUGAGGCGCGAAAGCGUGGGGAGCAAACAGG
rnacentral:rRNA from 1 species